rnacentral:tRNA from 1 species
UGCAUCGGCCGGGAAUCGAACCCGGGCCGCCCACGUGGCAGCCGAGCAUUCUACCACUGAACCACCGAUGG